GAAAUGAAAAUCAGCACCACAAUGAGAUACCACUUCACACUCACUAGGAUGGUUAUGAUUUAAAAAUUAGGUAAUAGCAAGUGUUGAAGAUGUGGAAAAAUGGGAACCCUUAUACGUUGCUGGUGGGAAUGCAAAAUGGUGCGACCCCUUUGGGAACAAUCUGCCAGUCCCUUGAAAGGUUAAACACAAAGUCACCAUAUAGCCCAGAAAUUCUACUCCUAGGCAACGAGUGGAAACAACCCAAAGUCCAUCAACUGACAAGCAGGUAAAUAAAAUGUCAGCUUUCAAUAUAAUGAAAUAGUGUUUGACCAUAAAAAGGAAUGAGUACUGAUACACCCUACAAUGUGGAUGAGCCUCGGAAACAUUAUGCUAAGUGAAAUAACCCAGACACAAAAGACCAUACAUUAUAUGAUUCCACUUAUACAAAAUGUCCAGAACCAGAAACCCAUAGAUAGAGAAAAUAGAUCAGUAACUGCCUAGGGUGGGGAUGGGAGAUCGGGGCUGGGGGGAGCAAAGAAAAUGAGGGGGGAAUGGGGAGUGAUUUUUAAUGCAUAAGGGGUUUCUUUUGGAGUGAUAAGAAUGUUCUAGCAUAAUUGAUUGUGGCUGCGCAAUCUGUAAAUAUACUAAAAAUAUUGUAUAUUUUAAGCAGGUGAAUUGUAUGAGAUUUGAAUUAUAUCUCAAUAAAGUUGUUAUUACAGAGGAAAACGAAAUGGAAGUGAUGCAUGAGCUGGUUGCUGAGGACUAAGUGGCAGUCAGCAAGGGAGAGGAAAGGAGCUUCCCAGGCAGCCGUAACAGCCUGUGCAAAGUCCCUGUGGCAGGAGAGAAUGUGGUGAGCCCCGGGUUCCAAAAGGCAACUCGUGGGGCUGAAACCUAGAAAGGGAUGGAGAGCAAGGAGUGAGAGGAUGAUGGACAGCAAAUAGGGGAAAGAUUCUGUUGGACUUUGCAGGCCAGAAAAUGAGUGUUGUCUUUAUUCUCAGAGUAAGGGAAACUGUUUGCAGGAAAUGACUGUCAGAUUUACUUUAUGAAAAAUUGGGCUUCACUGCAGCAUGGAGAAUGGAUCAGACAGAAGGUAGAGUGGAAAGGAAAGGACCACUGGGAGACCAUAGAGCAGCCCAGGUGACAGUGACAAAUGUCAUCAGGAGUUUAGGAUCAUCACACAUACCUUGAGAAGUAAGUACGUCAGCAAUUGUCAUCUUCAUUUGCUGCAUUGAGAAACGAAGUGGCUUCAUGUGAGGCUAUUGGGCAAGUUAGUACCAGAGAUGGGUCUCUCUGUUUUACUCUUACAAAUCUUCCCUACAGCCCAAAACACUGGGUCUUUUCUCUGGGCUCUUGGCAAGUGCCAAGUUAGCAUUUGUUUUGCCCCCUACUCUCCAGAGAACAUGGACGUACUUUUCCUCCCCCUGGGUUGCUGAAAGUAAAAAAUGCAACAACACUAAAUACUCAAGCAUGUGGUCUGGAGACACAGGUCUCCAUCUAAAUCCACCACUGAUUACCUGUGACCUGAGGCCUAAUCUCUCUCUGUCUCAAGUGCCCAGUCGGUAAAGUGUUGCAUAGAGUAGUCCCAAGUUUAGAGGAUUGUUGGGAGAAUUUAGUAAAACCAUCUCACUAACAGCUUAGAACAAAGCCUAGUGUAUAUAAACUACUCAAUAAGUAUUGGCCAUUAUUAUCCUUUUCAGAAUUAUUAUUACUUUGAACAAAGAGUAAACAGAGAACACUAGACAUUCUCCUCACAUCCCAGUCUCUGGAGGCUUUGGCAGUCUAUUGGUUCCUCUCUGAGCAAAACUGUCUUCCUAACAUCUGUGCACAAUGGCCCAACAUCUGGCCCUGAGAACUGGCCAAGACUGAGGCUCAGGAGCCUGGUGCUCUAGGGUGAGAUAGCAUGUGGAUCCAAUGUCCCUGACCUAGCACAUGCAGUGUUUGUCUUCUUUGCAACAGUUGUGUAUUUCCUGUGGAAUUCGAAGGCUGUCUCUCAAUGCCUACUCGCCACUUUAUCCAUACCCAAACAUGGCAUCAGCCUGGCUCCUUGGAUGUGACCCACUCAGUUGCACAGGGCCCUGUGCUUGGAAAGCCCUUGCACUUUGUCCAUUGCUCUGAUCUCACCAUUUGGAAAUUCUUAAUAGUUCUUGAGCCAAGGUGCCUUCAUAUUCCUUUUGCACUGGGCCCUGCAGAUUAUAUAGCAAAUCCUGCAAUGUAGCCCCUUCUACUACAGCAAGUAAACGGCAUGGUGGUGUGGGAGAUCAUCCAAGAGCUGACUUGGAGUCAGCAACGAGAGCCUGGUACUGGCUGUGGCCGUGGGCCUGUCUGUGGGCUUCUAAGCAAUCACAGGAGAUAGAUGGUUAAGACUAAAGACGCCAUAUCAAGAAUGCACAGGGGCUCAAGAACUACACCCUUGUUCCCUCUCUUACGCUGCUCAAUGCUCUAGUUUCUCUUCAGGCUAAGUACAAGGACCAUGUCUGUAUUAGUUUGCUGGAAUUGCCAUUAAAAGUACCACACACUGCGUGGCUUGAACAACAGAAGUAUGUCAUCUCACAGUUCUGGAGGCUGGAAGUCCAAGAUCAAGGCAUUGGUAGGGUUGGUUUUUUCUGAAGACACUCUUUUUAGCUUGUAGAUGGCUACAUUCUCCCCGUGUCUACACACUUCUUCUGUGUGUUUCUGCAUUCUUAUCUCCUUGUCUUCCAAGGACACCAAUCCUAUCAGAUCAGGACCCACCCUAGUGACCUCAUGUUAAAUUAAUUAGCUCUUUAAAGACCUUAUCUCCAAAUACAGUUACAUUCUGAGUUCCCCAGGGUCAGGACUUCAAGUGGCACUAAGGACAAGCCAGGCAAGAGGUCAGGCUCUGCAAUCCCAGUUCUGAAUUUUCACAUCUGUAAACUGGAGGUACUUUCUAGGACUACUGUAAGGAUUAGACCAUCCAUGUACAGCAUUUAGUACAGUCACACUUAAUAAAUAUUAGCCAUUAUUACACACUAUCUACAACUCUCACCUCAUACUGUUAAUACCAUUAAUUCAGUCUUAGAAUUAUGUAUAAAUAAUUCCUCUGCAGCUAUGCAGCUUCCAGAAGAAAGCUCUAAGCCCACUUUGUAGACAUACCCAGGUCCCCUAGAUUAACAUCCCCAGGUAGCCCAAAUUCUUGAUGUAACACAAAAUUCACCUGACUUUCUUGGUGGGGUGCUUAGAACUAUAACACUCAUAACUUGAAUUUUCUGUAUGCUAGUCUUAAUUUUUAGUCUUUAAAUUUGUAGGCCUGUGGCUAUUUUCAUAAUCUUGGCUGCACACAUUUAUGUAAACUGUGCUAAUGAAAUUCAACUACUUUAUAGUGUGUGUGGGGAGAGGAGCCUAUUUCUCCUAAGAAGCCAUAUAUGAAUUGAGGGAAAAUUUAAUUUGAUGAGAGCAGUUGGAACUACAAUUGAGUUUUGUAUAUGCUAAUAUUUUUAUUAGUGCUUGUAAAACCAGCUAAUGACUUGGAAAGUGAGUGAGAUUUCAUGCUCUCCAGGUGAGCCUAUGAUAAUAGGAGCCACGGGUUAGGGAAAUCCACUGACCUCCAGAACUUUUAGAGACAUUUAGUUCCAUUACCUUGACACCGUUUUACAUUUUAUGACAGAUACUGUAGGCUGGUUCACCCAACAUCCAUUGCCUUUUCUGAUUCCCUUCCCACUUGUCUUUCUCUGCACUCAUCUAUUUUCUCAUUCUCCCUUGCACCUAGAGGUAAUCAUGUGACACUAUUCUGACCAGUGAGGCCACAGCAGAAACCUGGGCAUAAUGCACCUAGGAAUGGGUCCUUCACAUCCCUUGUAAGUUGGAUUCCUAGGUAUUUUAUUCUCUUUGUAGCAAUUGUGAAUGGGAGUUCACUCAUGAUUUGGCUCUCUGUUUGUCUGUUAUUGGUGUAUAGGAAUGCUUGUGAUUUUUGCACAUUGAUUUUGUAUCCUGAGAUUUUGCUGAAGUUGCUUAUCAGCUUAAGGAGAUUUUGGGCUGAGACAAUGGGAUUUUCUAAAUAUACAAUCAUGUCAUUUGCAAACAGGGACAAUUUGACUUCCUCCUCUCCUAAUUGAAUACCCUUUAUUUCUUUCUCUUGCUGAUUGCCCUGGCCAGAACUUCCAACACUAUGUUGAAUAUGAGUGGUGAGAGAGGGCAUCUCUGACUUGUGCCAGUUUUCAAAGGGAAUGCUUCUAGCUUUUGCCCAUUCAGUAUGAUAUUGGCUGUGGGUUUGUCAUAAAUAGUUCUUCUUAUUUUGAGAUAUGUUCCACAAAACUUAGUUUAUUGAGAGUUUUCAGCAUGAAGGGCUGUUGAAUUUUGUUGAAGGCCUUUUGUGCAUCUGUUGAGAUAAUCAUGUGGUUUUUGUUGAUGGUUGUGUUUAUGUGAUGGAUUACAUUUAUUGAUUUGCAUAUGUCGAACCAGCCUUGCAUCCCAGGGAUGAAGCCAACUUGAUCAUGGUGGAUAAGCUUUUUGAUGUGCUGCUGGAUUCAGUUUGCCAGUGUUUUAUUGAGGAUUUUCACAUCGAUGUUCAUCAGGGAUAUUGGUGUAAAAUUCUCUUUUUUUGUUGUGUCUCUGCCAGGCUUUGAUAUCAGGAUGAUGCUGGCCUCAUAAAAUGAGUUAGGGAGGAUUCCCUCUUUUUCUAUUGAUUGGAAUAGUUUCAGAAGGAACGGUACCAGCUCCUCUUUGUAUCUCUGGUAGAAUUUGGCUGUGUAUCCAUCUGGUCCUGGACUUUUUUUGGUUGGUAGGCUAUUAAUUAUUGCCUCAAUUUCAGAGCCUGUUAUUGGUCUAUUCAGAGAUUAAAUUUCUCCUAGUUUAGUCUUGGGAGGGUGUAUGUGUCCACGAAUUUAUCCAUUUCUUCUAGACAUUCUAGUUUAUUUGCCUAGAGGUGUUUAUAGUAUUCUCUGAUGGUAGUUUGUAUUUCUGUGGGAUCAGUGGUGAUAUCCCCUUUGUCAUUUUUUGUUGCGUCUAUUUGAUUCUUCUCUCUUUUCUUCUUUAUUAGUCUUGCUAGUGGUCUAUCAAUUUUGUUCAUCUUUUCAAAAAACCAGCUCCUGGAUACAUUGAUUAUUUGAAGGGUUUUUUUGUGUCUCUCUAUCUCCUUCAGUUCUGCUCUGAUCUUCGUUAUUUCUUGCCAUCUGCUAGCUUUUGAAUGUGUUUGCUCUUGCUUCUCUAGUUCUUUUAAUUGUGAUGUUAGGGUGUGCAUUUUAGAUCUUUCCUGCUUUCUCUUGUGGGCAUUUAGUGCUAUAAAUUUCCCUCUACACACUGCUUUAAAUGUGUCCCAGAGAUUCUGGUGUGUUGUGUCUUUGUUCUCAUUGGUUCCAAAGAACGUCUUUAUUUCUGCCUUAAUUUCGUUAUGUACCCAGUAGUCAUUCAGGAGCAGGUUGUUCAGUUUCCAUGUACAUGUGUGGUUUUCAGUGAGCUUCUUAAUCCUGAGUUCUAAUUUGAUUGCACUGUGGUCUGUGAGACAUUUUGUUGUGAUUUCUGUUCUUUUACAUUUGCUGAGGAGUGCUUUACUUCCAACUAUGUGGUCAAUUUUGGAAUAAGUGUGAUGUGAUGCUGAGAAGAAUGUACAUUCUGUUGAUUGGGGUGGAGAGUUCUGUAGAUGUCUAUUGGGUCUGCUUGGUGCAGAGCUGGGUUCAAGUCCUGGAUAUCCUUGUUAACCUUCUGUUGCAUUGAUCUGUCUAAUAUUGACAAUGGGGUGUUAAAAUCUCUCAUUAUUAUUGUGUGGGAGUCUAAGUCUCUUUGUAGGUCUCUAAGGACUUGCUUUAUGAAUCUGGGUGCUCCUGUAUUGGGUGCAUAUAUAUUUAGGAUAGUUAGGUCUUCUUGUUGAAUGGAUCCCUUUACCUUUAUGUAAUGGCCUUCUUUGUCUCUUUUGAUCUUUGUUGGUUUAAUGUCUGUUUUAUCAGAGACUAGGAUUGUAACUCUGCCUUUUUUUUUUUACUUUCCAUUUGCUUGGCAGAUCUUCUUCUAUCCCUUUAUUUUGAGCCUAUGUCUCUGCACAUAAGAUGGGUCUCCCGAAUAUAGCACACUGUUGGGUCUUGACUCUUUAUCCAACUUGCCAGUCUGUGUCUUUUAAUUGAGGCAUUUAGCCCAUUUACAUUUAAGGUUAAUAUUGUUAUGUGUGAGUUUGAUCCUGUCAUUAUGAUGUUAGCUGGUUAUUUUGCCUGUUAGUUGAUGUAGUUUCUUCAUAGCAUCGAUGGUCUUUACACUUUGGCAUGUUUUUGCAGUGGCUGGUACCAGUUGUUCCUUUCCAUGUUUAGUGCUUCCUUCAGGAGCUCUUGUAAGGCAGGCCCGGUGGUGACAAAAUCUCUCAGCGUUUGUUUGUAAAGCAUUUUAUUUCUCCUUCACUUAUGAAGCUUAGUUUGGCUGGAUAUGAAAUUCUGGAUUGAAAAUUCUUUUCUUUAAGAAUGUUGAAUAUUGGCCCCCACUCUUUUCUGGCUUGUAGAGUUUCUGCUGAGAGAUCUGCUGUUAGUCUGAUGGGCUUCCCUUUGUGGGUAACCCGACCUUUCUCUCUGGCUGCCCUUAACAUUUUUUCCUUGAUUUCAACCUCGCUGAAUCUGACAAUUAUGUGUCUUGUGGUUGCUCUUCUCGAGGAGUAUCUUUGUGGUGUUCUCUGUAUUUCCUGAAUUUGAAUGUUGGCCUACUUUGCUAGGUUGGGUAUUAUCUCCUGGAUAAUUUCCUGCAGAGUGUUUUCCAAUUUGGUUCCAUUCUCCCCGUCACUUUUAGGUACACCAAUCAAACACAGAUUUGUCUUUUCACAUAGUCCCAUAUUUCUUGGAGGCUUUGUUCAUUUCUUUUUAUUCUUUUUUCUCUAAACUUCUCUUCCUGCUUUAUUUCAUUAAUUUCAUCUUCCAUCACUGAUACCCUUUCUCCCACUUGAUCGAAUUGGCUAUUGAAGCUUGUGCGUGCCUCAUGUAGUUCUUGUGCCAUGAUUUUCAGCUCCAUCAGGUCAUUUAAGGUCUUCUCUACACUGUUUGUUCUAGUUAGCCAUUUAUCUAAUCUUUUUUCAAGGUUUUCAAUUUCCUUGCGAUGGGUUUGAACAUCCUCCUUCAGCUUGGAGAAGUUUGUUAUUACCGACCUUGUGAAGCCUACUUCUGUCAGCUUGUCAAAGUCAUUCUCCGUCCAGCUUUGCUCCAUUGCUGGCCAGGAGCUGAGAUUCUUUGGAGGAGAAGAGGCACUCUGGGUUUUAAAAUUUUCAGCUUUUCUGCUCUGGUUUCUCCCCAUCUUUGUGGUUUUAUCUACCUUUGGUCUUUGAUGUUGGUGAACUACAGAUUGGGUUUUGGUGUGGAUGUCCUUUUUGUUGAUAUUGGUGCUAUUCCUUUCUGUUUGUUAGUUUUCCUUCUAACAGUCAGGUCCCUCAGCUGCAGGUCUGUUGGAGUUUGCUGGAGGUCCACUCCAGACCCUGUUUGCCUGGGUAUCACCAGCAGAGGCUGCAGAACAGCAAAUAUUGCUGCCUGAUCCUUCCUCUGGAAGCUUCAUCCCACAGGAGCACCUCCCUGUAUGAGGUGUCAGUCGGCCCCUACUGGGAGAUGCCUCCCUGUUAGGCUACAUGGGGGUCAGGGACCCACUUGAGGAGGCAGACUGUCUGUUCUCAGAGCUCAAACACCAUGCUGGGAGAACCACUGCUCUCUUCAGAGCUGUCAGACAGGGAUGUUUAAGUCUGCAGAAGUUUCUGCUGCCUUUUGUUCAGCUAUGCCCUGCCCCCAGAGGUGGAAUCUACAGGAGCAAUAGGCCUUGCUGAGCUCCCGUGGCCUCCAUCCAGUUCGAGCUUCCCUGGCCGCUUUGUUUACCUACUCAUGCCUCAGCAUGGUGGACACCCCUCCCCCAGCCAGGUUGCCGCCUUGCAAUUUGAUCUCAGACUGCUGUGCUAGCAGUGAGCAAGGCUCCAUAGGCGUGGGACCUGCCGAGCCAGGCAUGGGACAUAAUCUCCUGGUGUGCCUUUUGCUAAGACCUUUAGAAAAGUGCAGUGUUUGGGUGGGAGUGUCUCAAUUUUCUAGAUACAGUCUGUCAUGGCUUCUCUUGGCUAGGAAAGGGAAAUCCCUUGACCCCUUGCACUUCCUGGGUAAGGUGAUGCCCUGCCCUGUUUCAGCUCACCCUCCAUGGGCUGCACCCACUGCCCAACCAGUCCCAAAGAGAUGAACCAGGUACCUCAGUUGGAAAUGCAGAAAUCACCUGUCUUCUGCAUAAAUCACACUGGGAGCAGCAGACCAGAGCUGUUCCUAUUUGGCCAUCUUGGAACGAAUCGAUUGAUCUAAUGGUUUUAUAAGGGGCUUUUCCCCCUGUGCUUGGCAGUUCUCUCUCCUGCUGCCAUUUGGAGAAGGAUGUGUUGCUUCUCCUUCUACCAUGAUUGUAAGUUUCCUGAGGCCUCCUCAGUCAUGCAAAACUGUGAGUCAAUUAAACCUCUUUUCUUUAUAAAUUACCCAGUCUCGGGUAUUUCUUCAUAGCAGCUUGAGGAUGGACUAAUACAGACCCCCUGUAAUUUUUUUGCUUAAAGUCACACUUUCCGAGAACCUAGGGGCAACAUUAAGUGAUGACUUAUAGUAUGUUGUAUGUAUGCUCUGUGUAUGUGUGUAUGUCAUAUGUGCGUAUAGUUUUGUCUGCUGACAUUGCUCUGUGCUGUCAUGUCACAGAAGCAAUGAAAGUAAGCAAUAUGUGUGCUUCACCCUGCAGUUCACACAUCUUUUGUCUUCUGAUCAGCUCAGCUGUUUUCUGUUCUGGCAGUAUUCAGGGUAGAGAACACAGAGAGGGAGAAAUGAGAUGCUGUGUGGUCCCCUGGAGGGGGGCCUCUGGAAAAAUCGCCCAAAUAGCAGAGGCCUCCUCUGCUUGGGGACCCUUCCAAGGCUUUGGUUCAGUAAUCAUGCAGGCUGGGAGGAGGGAGGAGGAGCUGCGAGAUAUAGGGAUAGGCGGAGUCCUUGUGGUGGUAGAUGGGGCUGGCAGGGAUUGAUCCAUGUCCAGGGAGUGAAGGCAGGUGCAGUGCUGAUGCGCCACCCCACUGCAGGCAUCUGACUUGCCUGAAGCUGCCCCCAUGGCCGGCUCUACCUCGCCUCAUUGCAGAGGUGCAGAGACAAGGCCCAGCUGGCAGGCUCUGGGUGAUAAAUGUGCUCCCGCCUCCCCACCUUUCCUUUUUCAUCUGCGUGUUGGUGCAUGGAAGAGGGGGUGCAUCAUUUCUCAUGUUGGCCGCAGGCUCACACAUCUGAUGGAUGAGCUGGAGAGCGGCUUCCUUCUCAGUGCACCUGUUUCCUCCAACCCCCUGAAGCUGAUACUGCAGCCUUAGCUUUUGCUCUUGUAAAUGUGAAGAUUCUUAGUAAAACUGCAGGCAGCUUAGCAAGGCCAGAGGAAUACCACAGGCAUGUACAGUUCAAUAUCAUUAGGCAGACUUCACAGAUCCUGGUCAGCACUGAGCAUGCUGGUGAAGUGGGCGUGGAGAGGUGAAGACUGAACUAACAUGCAUGAGGACCAAGUGUGAGCCAGGCCCUGUGCAAACUGGUUGUCUUCUUUAAGCCUCAUGAAAAUGUGGCAGCCUCAUUUCCAUUUUGCAAACAAGGAAAGAGUCACAGACAAUGUCAUUUAUUGGAGAUCACACAACUACUAAGUGGAAUAGCCAAAAUUUUCUCCCAAAUUUCUCCAGCCCCGAAGGGAACCAAUAUUUAGAUUUUAAAUAUUCAUGAAAUUCCCCUUCAAACCUGAGAUUCUAUGUUCUAGGGCCACCAUGAAUGAUGCAAAUUACUAAAACUGUAAAUGACAUGUCCGCAUCUGGCAUUUUCCCUCAGCACGAACAGCUAAAUCUUUAGUUUCUGUGCUUUCUUCCUCUUCUUCUUCCUCUGCCUCUUAUUCAUCAUCUCUCCCUCCUUCUUCUUUAAGAAAAUUCGCAUUCUAAUCAAUCAAGUUUGAAUCCCUUUCUGGCAUUGCUGGUGUUGCCAUGUCCCAACAGGAUCACGACCCAUUUGGAAGAUACCGACAUUGUGCCUUUCCUUCUUUGUGAGGUCACUCUGAGCCCCUGGUCUUGGUCCAUUCUUUAUACCAGUCUCUCCUGUCCCUCUUUCAAUUUUCAUGAGCAUGUUAGAUGUGUCCAGAAAACACCAUAGGUGUACAGAAAAAAAAAAAAGAUCCCAGAUUAAACCAUUGACUAGCCUUGUUGGGGUCUCCAAGCUCAAGGUUAAUAUCUUCUCUCAACCCCUGCAACAGCUGCUAUUAGCAAGCCGUCUUUCUGAAUACAGCAUAUAGCAUCUAACUCCUCCAUAUACAGCCUCAGUUUCCCCAAGGUGGUUAGCCUUUGGGAAGGCUCUGAGGGGCUGAAGAUAGCAAGUCCAUUGUCCACCUCUGCUUUCCCAAGCAGAGACUCUCUUCCAACAGACCCAUAAAAUCACAAUAGAAGUUAACCCCAUGCAUACUCACUCUGCCUGAUAGGGCUCUCAGUGCAUUACAUGAACUAACUUUUCUCCUCUUCACCAUAAACUGAUAAGGGAGUUUCUUACCAGUUUUAUCCCCAUUUACAGAUGAGAUAACCAAAGCUCAGAGAGAUGAGCGAACUUGGCCACGGUCACACAAGUAGUAAGUGGCACAGCCUGAAGAACCCGUGCAUUCUGAGCCCAGGGCCAACUUCCCUAAGCAUCAUGCAAAUUUGCCUUAUGCCUUGUGUGUCACUGAUGCAUCUCCAAAACAGAAGCAACCACACCAGCAAUUCCCUAGGCAUCGCAAAGCUGUGCAAUAGACCUGCUUUUCCCUACUCACCACACAAAGGUCCUUGGGUUUAGGGUUCUCCAUCCAAGGAGUGGAGACCCACUUGCAGAUAUACUGCAGUCUCAAAAACACUAAUCGCUUCUGUCAUGGUUGGUACAUGCCAUAUGCCAGGCAUAGUGCUAAGCUCUGCAGAUGAAGCCCAUGGCAUCCUUGCAAGCUACUGUUCUCCCAUUUAACAGAUGAGGCCACUGAGGAUCAGAGAGGUUUUAUACUUCUGGAAAAUCAGGCCAAGUAGAUUUUAAUACCACCAAUAUAAAAUGCCUAAAACCCCACGAAUUCUAUAUAUUUCACUCAUGAGUGCUUUAUGAAGCAACUAUCUGUGAGAACAACUUUUCUUUACCAACUCUAGAGUGCCUAGGUCAUAGAGAGCCCUCAGGAAUCAUAACUCCUUGGCCAAGCUCAUUCAGAUCUUUUUUUUUUUUUUCAGCAGCUAUGGACACAGAGGUCCCCAGGGAGUAUGGCUGUGUUUGAUGUGAUGGAAUGAGAGGAAGCUCUGGAGUCAGACCCGUGCUUAUCUACAGGCUCAAUCACCUUCUUGCUGUGUGUCCUUAGGCAAACAGUUUAACCUCUCUGAGUUUGUUUCCUCAUCCAUCAAAUGAGGUUAAUGAUAUUUAACUCACAGGGUGGUUGAGAAGGUGGACAAAUAUGUAUCAGAUGGCUUUCCUUUGCUCUCAAGCCAAUUCCCCCAACCCUUACUGUAACCACAAAGUCAUGGCUAUCAGGCCCUGAUGACAUUUCUGUCUCAUCUCCAGCCAUGUUUGCCUCUAGGCUCAAGCCACAUGGCCUUCAGUAACUCUUAUUCAAUGACUCAAAUGUCCAGUUGUCUUUCCUUCUCAAAGAUCUUUGCAUAUUCUGCCUCUCCUUCCCAUGAGCUGCCAGAAACAUGGACCCUCCCAGCUUCUCCCUCUCAUGCACACAUAUACAUGAGACACAGACACAAAGAAAGACAAGGACACACACACCCAAAGAGACUCGGGACAAAAAACCACACAUGCAGAAAGUGGGAGACUCAGAGAUACGCACCAAAGAGUCACACAGAGGCAUAUACACACACAGACAUGCAGAGAGACCCAGGAAAAGACACACACUUAUAGACACACAAACCCAUGUGCACCAAAGAGCCACACAGAGACAUAAAAACACAUAGGCAUGCAGAGAGACCUAGGGAAAGACACACAAACCCAUGCACACACACACAUGCGCAGAUACACCAAUACCUAGUUAAUUCCCAAACAUUUUUGAGAUCUCAGCUCACUUUCUCAGGGAUUCCUUCCUGACAUCAGAUUUCUUGGCUAUGCAAUUGCAGAGAACCCCAUUUCUUUCCUUCAUGUUGCUUAUUUUGGUUUGCAGUUAUACACUCCUUAGCUAGAUCACGGGGUACUGUCUGCCUCUUCUGGAGUUCAACAGAUACUCCAUGCAUAGGAACUACAUUGGCAUCACCCAGCGCACUGUGGAUUGCCCAGUUUGGAAUUCUGACCUCACUACUUUCUGUCUGUGUGACCUGGGGCAAGUUCACCUCUCUGUGCCUCAGUUUUCCAUAAAAUCAUAGUACCUACCUCAUAGGGUUGCCAUAAGGAUUAAAUGACUUUGUAUAGGGACAGCACUGAAAGUAGUGCCAAGCUUAGAGGACAUACCAUGUGAGUGUAAGCUAUCAUUAUUGAAUGAAUGAAUGUCUAGCAUAAAGAAGACACAAUAAAUGGUAGCUGCUACUACUGUUAUUACUACCAUCACUGCAUGUGGGUCAACUUUUCAGGCAAAUGCUGCAGUGGUGGGUUAGGGCCUUUUCUUGCUGUUACAGACGUGACAAUGUAAUUAUUUCAGCUCCUCCGUAGAAAGGCCCCAGUGGGUAAGAGAUUAGGCUUCUGCAUCAGCCUGUCUGGGCCUAAACCCCACGUCUACACUUUCUAGCCUUGUGGCAAGUGACUUAAUCUCUGCCAGCCUCAGUACAUUUCUCAUGGGCCUGUUACUGCCCACACUGUGACGAGCUCAGUUCCUGCCUGGUGCCUACCUCAAGGUCCACAUUCAGGGAGCAUGAGCCCUUAUUAUUGUUCAUGACCAUGGGCUGUGAGCCUUAUUCUGACCACAUAUUUGAAAACUACACUACUUUUGGCAUAAUGUAGGGCUGAGUUUUUGUAUUUCUUUUUUUUUUUUUUUUUUUUUUUUGAGACAAAAUCUUGCUCUGUCACCCAGGCUGUAGUACAGUGGCAUGAUCGCAGCUUACUGCAACCUCUGCCUCCUGGGUUUAAGCAAUUCUCCUGCCUCAGCCUCCCAAGUAGCUGGGACUACAGGCACACGCCAUCAUGCCUAGCUACUUUUUUGUAUUUUUAGUAGAGACGGGAUUUCACCAUGUUGGCCAGGAUGGUCUCAGUCUCCUGAUCCACCCACCUCGGCUUCCCAAAGUGCUGGGAUUACAGGCAUGUGGCAUUUCAUUCUUAAAAGGUGAGUCAUGUUAUCGUUAUGCACAAAGAACAGCACAGUUCUCUGUGUAUAUUUGUGUGCAUAUGUGCAUGUGUGUGUGUGUGACAUGUCAUGAUGCUUUGGGAUUAUCCAGAGGCCAAGGCCCUCUGGCUGAGUCAUGUAUCAAUUAGCAAUGCAUUCAGCUGCAAGGAACAGAAAACCUGGGCUUACAUAGAGGGGCUUAUUUUCUCCCCCACAAGAAGCCAGAGGUGGGCAGUUGCCAGCUGUGGUCAGUGGCACAUCCUUGUCAGGGCCUGUGUCCCUGAAGUUCUCUGAAUCUUCUCCCAAAUCAUUGCCUUGGUUAAAAGAUAAGUGCCGUGUUUUUAUGCCAUAUACCAUGUUUAUUGCAAGCCAGAAAAACAGCAAAAGGGAGGCAUGAAUGGGUCCAUCCUGUCUUAUCAGAAAAGCAAAAACUGAUUUUCGUUAGUCUCAUUGGCCAGAACUGUAUCACUUGGUCACUCCCUGGCUCUAAGCAAGACUUGGGACACUCACCUUUUUAUUUUGCAGCCUCUGCGGUAGAGACAGGCAAAGGAGAAGAGGGCUGAGAGUGAUUUGGGAGAGCCAGCUGCAGGGCUCCUGGGCUCAGAUCAGCUCCCUCCCCCACACCUGCCCCCUGCAAGAUCCUUUACAUUUUCCCUGCUGGGACUCUGCUGACGGAUGGAUGGGCACUGUUCUCUCCACCAUCCACCCUAGGGGAUGCAGUUGUCAGUGUGUCACUGCCCCCUCCCCAAUGCUACCUACAACCCCAUCUCCUCUUUCUCACUCUUACUCAUUAGAAAGCAAGCAUUAGAGGAACAGCCUUGAAUUUGCUUAAAGUUACAUUAAAUUUGGGCAAAUUAUAAUGUAAGCCCUGAACAAACUUAAGACCUUAUGAUGAGUAAGAAAUUAUUUGUGAUGCCUCCCUGGGUUGGGACAUCAAGAGUAGGAGUUGCUGCCCUGGAUGGCAGAUUCAAAUGGCCAACACAUGGUGGAAACCAAUAGAAAAUUGGUUAAAUUGAAGCUGGGCGCGGUAUCACGCCUCUAAUCCCAGCACUUUGGGAGGCCGAGGCAGGCAGAUUGUUGAGCUCAGGAGUUAGAGACCAGCCUGGGUAACAUGGCAAAACCCCAUCUCUACAAAAAAUACAAAAAUUAGCCGGGUGUGGUGGCGCAUGUCUGUAGUCCCAACUACUUGGGGGGCUGAGGCCAGAGGAUUGCUUGAACCCAGGAGGUCGAGGCUGCAGUGAGCCAUGUUCAUGCUACUGCACUCCAGACUAGGUAGCAGAUUCAGACCCGGUGUCUUAAAAAAGUAAAUUGGUUAAACUGGCUCUGUCUUAAAGGAGGCCAUUUUAAAUGGGCUUCCCUCUAAAUCAUCCAAAAAUCAGCCCAAAUAUUACAGCCCUUGUCAUUCAUGAAAUCACCCCUGUGUUCCUCCUUGUCUUCUUUCAUGAUGAAACUCAAGAUGGCUUGUGUAUAAAAACUCAUUAGACUGUUGAUGGAGAAAGAAGAUAUUCAUUUGACUUAUGUUGAACACAAUGCAGUUCUUUUCCUUUAUGAGUUUAGAUUUGUAAACCAUUUCUCCUACCUCCCCCCAUGCAAGUGUACGAUUUUAAUGUUCUUUUGAUAUAUAUCUCUGCAUGUUCUCCAUUUCUCUUAGUUUUCAUUUAAUUACUUCAGGUAUUAUUUUUAGUUUGCAGACUAAAAGUUUGGAAAGGAAUGAAAGUACACCUGGCACAUGAAGCCAGUGUUAUUAGCUUGCUGUUAUUUCUCUGUAUAUAACUCGAAAUCUUUGGAAAUGUGGGGGAGAGAGUCAAUUUCCCCUUUAUUAAACUUGAAUGGCAGUUCUCAGCCAUGGUAGGAAGUGCCAGACAUAGAAUGGGUUACUAAUAGAGUAUACAAAUGAUUUAUUCUUUUCCUUUUAACAAACUGGAGUGAAUUCAACAUUUUCCCUACCUACACUACACUCUCACUGGCACUCCAGCUUGCUUUACCUAGAGGAAGUGCAGGCGUGGUAGUCUGGCCUGUGAGCAGGACAAUGAGCAUACGUAAACAUGUGUUGCCUGUGCCGUUAGGAGGUGGCAGGUGGCGUGGCUAUUGUUAAUGCAACCAGAAUAGUUCAGUGGUUACAGAGUAUCUACCCAUUCAACAGCUGUUUAUUGAGCUACUACUGUGUGCCAAGCACCAUCCUCAGUUCUGGGAUACAGCAGGGAAAACACAAACAUGAUUCCUACUCUCAUGGAAUUUACAACCUGGUGGGGGAAACAGAUAAGAAACGAAACAAAUAAAGAAAAUCAUUAGGCCAAGUGUGGUGGUUCAUGCCUGUAAUCCCAGCCCUUUGGGAGGCCGAGGUGUGUGGAUCACCUGAGCUCAGGAGUUCAAGACCAACUUGGCCAACAUACUGAAACCCUGUCUCUACUAAAAAUACAAAAAUUAGCCAGGCGUGUUGGCAUGCACCUGUAAUCGCAUCUACCUGGGAGGCUGAGGCAGGAGAAUUGUUUGAACCCAGGAGGCAGAGGUUGCAGUGAGCCGAGAUCACACCACUGCACUCCAGACUGGGCGACAGAGCAAGCAAGACUGUCUCAAAAAAAGAAAAGAAAAGAAAAGAAUUAGACUGUGAUAAAGCACUGCAUUUAAUCAGUCAUUGCUGGAAUAAUGCUGUAUACGAACCAUUCUAAAAGCCCAGGAGCUUGCAACAGCAGAUGUCGCACCCAUAGUUCUGCUGGGCUCCACUGGGCUACAGAUCACACUCACUCUGUACCUCCCAUCCUCCUUAGCUGGCGGCACCUAGGUAAUGUUCUUCUCAAGGAGAUUAGCAGGAGUUCAAGAAGGCAGACCCAGUCAUCUGAACACAUUUAAAGCUUCUGCUCACAUCACAUUUACUAAAGUUCAUUAGCCAAAGCAAGUCGCAUGGCCAAGCCCAAAGUCAGCAGAACAGGGAGUGUACAGGGAAAGGAGAGAAAAUACUCACCCAACAAAAAUCACCUCUAUCAUGAGCAUUAAGGCAAUUACAGUGGUGGGUGGGGAGGCUUUGUUAUAUAACAUGGUUAGUUGGGAAAGGCCUUUUGUGGGGGUAGGAGGGGGAAUAUUGGAGCUGACAAGAAACCAGUCCUGACUAGAGGAGAAUGGUGUACUUGGAAGAGAGUCUCACAAACGCAAAGGUGCUGUGGCAGGAAAGUGUUUGGGGUCAUCCUGGAAAUGUAGCACAUAUGUUUGGAGUGUGUUGAGGAAGGAGGAGAGCAGGAUAUGGGAAGCACCCUAGGACAGGAUCCUGCAGGGACUCGGAGCCUCGUUAGCAUUUGGGGCUUUAUUCCAAGUUUAAUGGGCAGCUAUGGAAGAAUUUAUUUAUUUUUUUUUAAGACAGAGUCUUACAUAAUUACGGCUCACUGCAGCCUUGACCUCCUGGGCUCAAGUGAUCCUCCCACAUCAGCCUCCCAAGGAACUGGGACCACAGGUGCUCACUACCAUGCCCUGCUAAUUGUUGAAUUUUCUGUAGAGAUGAGGUCUCCCUAUGUUGCCCAGCCAGGCUGGUCUCAAACUCUUGGGCUCAAGGGAUCCUCCUGCCUCAGCCUCCCAAAGUACUGAGAUUACAGGCAUGAGCCACUGUGCUCAGCCGGAUUUUAGGCAGUAGAGCAACAUGAUCUGAAACAUACUUUCAAAAGGUCCCUCUAGCUGCACAGAGGAAAAUCAAUCAAAAGCGUGCAAAAAUGGAAACAGACAGGUUAGGAAGCACACUGCACAUGAGACACAAUGGCCUGACUGAGAUAGUGGCCAUGUUAACAGAGAAAGGCAGACAGGUUAGGUUUAUAUGCAGGUGGCUCAGUCACCAGAUCUGGCAACACUUUUUCCGAGGAACCAAAAGGGAUUUCUCCCCUACAAAUCAGUUUGGCGUAUCAUCAGACUCUGAGUGCAUCCCUAGGACGUAUCCUACCUGUGAACACCAUCUGUCCUGUGAACCAAGGGGUAGGUAUAGGGUAGAGUCAUUGUGGAACUUGGGUGUGGAGGUGUGUCCCCUGCUAGAGACCUAGCCUGAAUUCUGCAAGCUUGUGGCUCUCAGAGUCUUGGGAAAGAAACCACAUUUAUACCUAUGUCAGACUCAGCCUUGGCAAGGAUUGGUGAAAUCCACAUGUUGGAACAAUGAAGCCUGAACCAAGAGAUUCCACAGAAAUGUCUUGUAUGGAAAACUCAGCCUCAUGGCCCAGUGAACCUAGGGAGUUACACACCCAGACCAUAGGGAAUUCACAAAGCUGGGCUUAGCAUUCUACCCAGGAGGUUGACAGCAGCCAAGAAGACACUCCUUGGAAUUCACAUACCCGGUUGCAUUUGCUCUAUCUGAUGACAAUGGCAUCUGCGAGUCAGACACGGUAGAGGAGAGUUUGAUCCUGACUGUUCUCUGGCCCAAAGGCCCUGUACAAGUGUGGCUCUCCCUUCUUCAAACCUGCGGAUUCCUUCCUCUAACUCCCCAGUCCCAUCGGCUGGGGAAAAUCAUCUACAGGUUUGCAUGAUGGGAUUGACUUUGGCUGCUCUCAAAGGCAAGCCACCGGGGUAGUGUAGACACACCCCUUCUGAAUGUACCCCAGCCUGCCACUACAGGGAUCUGUCUGAUCUUGUGAUUCAUGUGAGGCGCUGGCACCCGCCUUCCUCUUUGACAAGGCGGCUCUGCCUGUUGGGAAAUUUGGCUUGAGGCUUCACAAGCCUGUCAGCAGAUGAGGGAAGACAUAUGCCAGCAGCAGGAAGCAUGCAUUAAACACAGAAAACUCUUCUGAUCAUGACUGCCCCAGCCUGUUCUAUAUAGAAGACAUUUGGCAGGCAUUCACGGGAGGCAGGUCCUAGCUGUGGAGGAUUUGUCAAGUGCAAGGUACUCCUUCCUUUCCCUACUGGCCCAUUCUCAUCUUCCAGGUCUUGGGCUCAAAAGUCACCUCCUCCGAGAGGCCUUCCUUGACUACUCUACCAAAGGCAGGACCCCUGCAUCGCUUCCUUCCUAUCACAUCACCUUGUUUUCCCUUUGUAGCAUCUGUAAUCAUUUUAGUUACUUUUAUACUUAUUUAAUAUCUACCGCUCCCAAUUGGACUCUAAGGUCUAACUGAGGUUUUCCUCUUCACUAUUUCCACCUACCUAGUGCAAGAUCUGGCACUUGGAUACAUGAUGGGUACCUGGAUAAAUGUGUGGAAAAAAUGGAAGAUGCAUAGGGAAAAACAAGGACCAAUUUUUAUUGAUAAUAUCUUUCUCUAUUUCCGAACUGACAGCUUCCUCUGAAACCUUUCCAACUAAAUGCUAUGGUUGUAAUGAAUGACAAGUUUGGGAGCUGCAGUCCCUUGAGUCAUAGCAAAGAGUUGGAGAGAACAGACAGAUCUAUAAUGAAGUUGUCACUUUUUCUCAAAUCAACGCAGAACAUAAUGUGGAAGCAGGUAUAGCCUCUCCCAUCUUGCACCAAAGGACGUGAAGAAGUGAGCCCAAGUGAACAGGCAAGUAGGUGUCUCAAGUGGGGGUUUCUGAAUAUUUCCUCAGAAGACAAUACACAUGGAAUCUCAAAGAUGAGUCGAGAUAUGUGUCAAUAACACUGAAACAGACAUGUAUCCUGCCCAGAGGUUGAGUGGAUGAAAUUGUCUAACAUUCAGGAAACUCUAAGAAUAAAGGUUAGAUUCCAGGUGUAACAAGAAUGUGUUAGCUGAUCAUUUUUGUUGGACUCCAUGAAAUUACAUGGCAAAUGGUGUGUACAAGUGUCCAUAUACAAUGAUCUAGGAAGAGGGAUCAGAGGUUUUAUCAUAUUUUCAAAACAGUCUAUGAUCUCCAAAAAAGGCAAAAGACAGCUACUCAUAGGUGCUUUUAUGGGGAAGGUCAUAUAGGUCAUAAAUCUAUAGAAACCAAAGGUAAAAUUGUAUCUUACUUCUUGAUCACCACGAGCCACCUCUCCCCUUGCCUUGUUUUGUUUAAGGUUGAGCGACGUGAGUUGUAAGAAGGAUGGUUUGAUGGGGUUCAGUGUUAGCCUGGAACUGGUUGGGGUUACCUGGGUGGAGGCUGCAGCAAGGUGGGAACAAGAUUGAAUGUGAUAUUAGCUCACUGCAUUUUUGUUAUGUCUUUGCCUGUGUGUCCUGGCUUUUCACAUCCCAUCUUGCUUUAGCUCUUGAAGGUACAUUUUUCUUCAAGUUCUAGACUCAACCUUCUUAGGACCCUAUCCCUGCUUGGUGCUUUUAAUGAUUAAACAAAGAAGCCAAGAGGAAGUAGACGUCGGUGUUUCACAAAGUGUGGUCUAUGGACUAGCUGUGUCAAAAUCAUCUGGCUCGCUUGUUAGAAAUGCAGAUCUCUGAGCCCAAGCCUUGACCCAUGAAAUCAGAGUCUACAAAGGUGUGUCUCACUCUGUUGCCCAGGAUGGAGUGCCGUGGUGAGAUCUUGGCUCACUGCAACCUCCACCUCCCAGGUUCAAGUGAUUCUCAUGCCUCACCCUCCUGAGUAGCUGGGACUAGAUGUGCCUGCCACCACACCCGGCUAAUUUUUUUGUAUUUUUAGAAGAGACUGGGUUUCACCGUGUUAACCAGGACAGUCUCAAUCUCCUGACCUCGGAUCUGCCCACCUCAGCCUCCCAAAGUGCUGGGAUUACAGGCGUGAGCCACUGCGCCCAGACGGGAAUCUGCACUUUUAAGAGGCUGUCUAGGUCAUCAUUCUGAUACACAACAAAGUAUGAACCCUGACCCUCAUAUGUCCUCCAGGCUCUCAAAUGUCCUCCAAGUUGGUCCCAGAAUGAACAAGGCUCAUCUUUGCUUACAUCAUUCUCCCUUCCCAUUUAUGCCUAUCCAAACUCUGUCCAUCCUUCAAGAUUACCUUAUCUCUCAUGGCAUAUAAGAAGUCUUUUUUAGGCAUCUCCAGCUUUCAUUUGCUUUCUUUUUUAUGAAUCCAACAUCCACAAGUCUUGCAUUAUUCUCUUUUCCAUUUAUCUGACUCUGGUCUCUUCAAUGCAAAUAUAAGCAAUAAACUCCUCAAAUCCUCAUUCUCUCCAGUGCGUCAUUUAUCUCAAGAGACAAGGAGAAUGUUCAAUAAACAACCCUUCCUCCAGAGUAUACCCGACUCUCAAAAUGUUAGCGAGCUUGUUUUAGACUCUGCUAAAUAGCUCUUACCUUACCAACUUCAAGUAUUGAUGGUGGGGCUGUCUUGCCAUUUGGAAAUCACAGCUUCCUCCUAAUAUUUCUGUUUUCCCAAGGCUUCCCUUCCUCUGGGCAUUUCCUUUUGGAGUGGUAGAAAAUGGGCCCAGAAGAAUUUGAAUGACAUUCUUCAGUUCAGAAUUCAUGCAAAGAGCUGUCUGGCUGCAGUAGUUUGCAAAGUGCUCAAAGAGUUUCACCUACCGAUGUUCAACUUUCAUCCAACAUCUCCAAAGGACACUUUUCUUUGAGAUUCAAAAACUUAAAGGGAAGGGUUUUAAGCUCAGCAUAUUCCUAAGGACCUGGUCAGGACCUUGAGAAAAGGACUUACCCCAGCUUAGACCAAAAUAUUCACAGGAUGGCUCUGCAUCUCUGUGUGCUGUUCAGCCUCUAUUUCCAUCCCACGAGGUCUGACUAUCUUCACUAAGCUUCAAUGAGCAACUGGAAUUUUGGAAGCUUGCUAAAAUCACAUUCCGUUCUGAGGAAGUUUGGUCUAUUUCUUGGCCUUAUGUCAAACAUUGCUAUUUUUCUUUCAGAAGUCAUCCAUAAACACAUGGACAAUGAAUUCAUUUCAAUGCAUUUCCAAUGAUCCAGCAGGCUUCUGAAACCGGUGAGCUUCAAAUGCAUUCCCAGGGGUACAUCUGAGUUUCGUAUAACCACUCGAAAUCUCUUUUCUAGUACAUGUGGCAUUACCACACCACAGUCUUAAGGCAUGACAUAAUUUACUUUUGCAUUUUCCGUUCAUUCUUGAACAGUUCACCGAGCUCCUGGAACUCAUAACAGAGAUGUCAGCUGUGGAUGUUGAUGAAGCCCUAGGACUGUGUCGUCUUUCAUCAGAACAUUCUUUUAGAAGCCUUAAGAAGCAUGAUUGCUCUGCAGCCAAAGCUAGUUUUUUUUUUUUUUUAAUUUUAAAUAAGAAGAUAGAUCUAUGGGCCUUUGAGAAAAGGAUUCUCAUUUUAAAAAAUUAAUAAUACAACUUGUCUCCUCUGCUUUUCCACAUACUCACACAUCCCUAAAUUUUAGAAAGGAUAUGUCUGCUGCAUUUUCAUUCCUCUGCAUCAGCUACGGUUUUGUAACCUGGGUUGAAUUCAGCAUUCCUAGCUAGAAAAUAGUCAGCUGAGGAAAAGACUGCCAUCGUCUCUCCCACCUUGUCCAACUCAGUUAAACCCAUGUCGAAAGCAGAAUCUGCUUUCACUGUUGGAGGAAUAAAAUGCAAGCCAUGAUAUCAACCCUACAGAAGCAGAUUAUAUCUUGGAAUUUAAGGAUAUUUUAGAGGGCCUGACAACUUCCUAAAAUUGAAUUCAAACAUUUGAACAUGUAUACACUUGCAUUUUUAGGGAGUGAAGAUCCCUAGUUCUCACCAGAUUUGCAAAGAGGUCUGUGACCCCAGAAAAGGUUGGAAAAAAAACAAGCAAAUACGAUCCUGCAGUCAAGAUCAAACAUGCCCAUUUGCUGAACCAAAAUACAGGAUGCAUCAGCUGUCAAGACAAUAUUAAUUCUGAAGACAGGGAAAGGAAAGAUCUGAACUCAAGAUUACCCCAGUUAAUCUAGGGCAUAUGGCUAUCUGAAUUCUGGGGAAUGACAUAAGGGAAGUCUGCUCUCCCUUUUUUUUUUGUUUUCUUUUUUUUUAAUUCAUGACACUUUCACUGAUCAUUUGGAUGGCAGGGUAUCGCUAAGAACCAGGAUUAUAAAGAUGAACAGGCCUCAGGUCUGUUUUUAACAGGCUUAUAAUCUAUGGUAAGAGGCAAGGCAUUUAAUCUCCUUUGCUUCUACGAUUAUGGCUCACAUAUGUUUGCUCUGCUCUAAGAAAAAUGCAUCAGAAGCACCUUAGGUUUGGCAGGUAGGGGCUCUGAUGUUAACAGGAUUGGGUAGAGAAGCUCUUGAUGCUUCUGGAAACCCCAUGAGAGUUUAGAAAACACGAACCUUGUCCUUCCCUCUGGAAAGCACUCUCAUCUUUCCUGUCUGAUCACUGAGCCUCCUCCCCAGUCCAGGGAGGAAACAAUUUUUGUUGGAAGACAUUAAAUUGCUUGGCUGGCUGUUGUGGCCCUGGGUGAGAUGAAGGCAGACAUCGUUAAUGGAAUGUGUUGUCGCAUUUUUUGGUGGAUUGUUUUGAAAAGUAUUUCACUGGAGAACAUUAGCACAGCUUGGGCAAAAGUGCUUUGUGAAAAAAUUAAAUCCCCAUAUUUCUCUAUCUCUUUCUGCAAUUGCUCCCCUGAUGUGCUCUCUGAAAGGGUAUUUGGUAAAGGCCAAUGUAUUGGGGUUGACUCUGAAGGUCCGUGGACCACGCAUGAGCUCAAAUGCAAUUGGCCAUUGCUUUGUGAUCCUUACCACUCAGGGCCAAUGUGACAGACUCACAGCCUCUCCAACAGGCCACUUAGAAACUAUGGAGAGGGAUGAUUCAGUAGAAAGGACAUGAACUCAGGGUGGAGUGGGCUUUCUCUCCCUUUGCUCUUUCCUGAUUCUAACCUAUCUGGGCCUGGACAGUCAUAAGACUCUGCUAUGAAAAACUACCCAGUCCUUGCUGUGAAAGUCAGCAGUGCUGGGCUACUUCUUGAAAGGCAAUACCUUCUGCUCUACCAUGAUGUGAACCAGGCCCCAACCCCUGACCACAGGUGACAGGACAUAGCCCAGGGUGUUCAGAAUAAUGAGCAGCCAAUCGCAGACCAUGAGGUGAUGGGUGAGCUGGUGGGAUUAGCUCUGCCCAGACAGGGCCUAGAAGUUGCCAAAUUUAGCUCCAAACCAGCAGCAUCUCAAAGUUCCUGGGCUCUACCUACAGAGACGCCUUCACAAUCAAAGUUCAUUCUUUAAAAGACAAGAUAAGAUUUGUUCUUCAGGCAUUUGGCUCCUAUCAGAGGCUUAGGUGUGAAAAAUAACAAAAUUUGAUCUUCGUGUCCCCAAUCUUUCCAUUUUAUUUGAUGUCAUGAGUGACGUCCAAUUCUACCAGUGGUUCCCAUUCAUUUGUUCUCUGGGAUCUGCUAAUCUCAUUUACAUUCAGUCAACCCCUAAAGCACCCAGCAGAAAGCAGAGUACACAGAGGGGGAUUUCAUAAAGUGAUGUUGACCCUUCGUGGUCCCACAAGUUCAUAUGCCACUGCCUCCUCGUGAAGUCCUGCCUGAUCACCUGUUGAAAUGAAUCACUUCUUUCCCACACCUGACACCCUCUGCACCUGUCUAAGAUAACAGUCCACUCUGCCUUGGGCAUGACUUAUUCACCCAUGUGCUUCCCCACCAUUUUUCACACCCUCCCAGUGGCAUCCUAGACACUCAAGAACUGGCAUGAACUUAUUGGCUAAUUAUAAAGUCGUUUCAGCCCUGAUGUUUUGGGUUGCUUCUCCCUUUCAUGAUAAUCACACAGCUAUGGUGGACACUUCUAUGGUCCAGACACUGUCUACAUUAGGUCAUGUCUACACCUAUGCUACAACUCUGUGGAAGGAGAUACUAUCAUUGUCCUCCUUUACAGACGUGGAAACUGAAACUCAAAGAGGUUAAGGGACUUCCUCCAAGACCAUUAUCUAUGCUAGUACCAGAACUUGAACUCUAGCCUAUGUAACCCCAAAGACAGUGCUGUUGAUCUUUGUGGGACACUUCUGUUUAUAGCUGCCCAAGACAGAGUCUCCAUCUGAGCAAUGCUUCUCACCUUUGAGUUGGAAAACAAGCCCUCAUAUACAAAGAGGCAGUAACGCGUAGUGGGUCGCAACCACAGGAUGCUGAAAGUAGGGAGUGAAUGUUUGAUGAGAAAUAGAGUGGAUACAGAGUUCCACUCCCUACAAAUCAUUUAUUAACUACAAAUGAAGAAAUAGUAACUUUGCAUCGAAGCAAACUGCCAAAUACAAUCUUGACCAAAUGAUCAAAGCCAACAUCAUCAAUAUUGGGACAACAGAACAUCUCAUGUCUCCUACUGUGAUGCGCUGAGGAUACAACAUCAUUCUGGUCUUCCUGCCAAAAAUGUGUAACUUGAACACAAUCAUGAGAAAACAUUAAGAACAUGUCACAGAAAACUGGCCUGUGUUCUUUAAAAAUUAUCAAGUUCAGGAAACACAAAGAAAGACAAAGGAAUUGCUCCAGAUUAAAAGAGACUAAAGGCUCUGGAUUAAAGACAAUUAAUUGCAAUGUGUACUUUCAGGUUGCAUCCUGAACCAGGGGAAAAAAAAUAGCUAUAUAGAACAUUAUUAGGACAAUUGAUGAAAUUUGAAUAUGGACUGUGAGUUAGAUAGUAUUGUUAUGAAAAUGUUAAAUUUUCUGAUUUUUGAUAACUAUUGAGAUUAUAUAGGAGAAUAUAUUAGGAAAUGCAUACUGCAAUAUUUAGGGUUAUGUGGGCACAAGGUCUCCAACUUAAUUGGGUCAGGAAAACAAAAUAUGCAUAUCUAUGUAAAAUAUAUGCAAAGAAUAAUACAGCAAAGUAAAAACAGGUGGAUCUGGGUAAAAGUUAUAUAGAAGUUUCAUGAACAAUUCUUGUAUUUUUUCUGGAAUUUCAGUUAUAUCAAAAUUAAAAAUUGCAAAAUGUUAUAGAGUAGCAGUUGCAAGUGUAGGUACUGAAAUUGUACUGCCUGGUGUAAAUCCUGGAUCUGCCAAGUACUGGCUGUGUGACCUUGGGCAACAUACCCAACCUCUCUGUGCCUGUUUCCUUGCCUGCAAAAUGGAGAUGAUAGAGUACCUACCUCUUAGCAUUUUCUGAGACCUGAAUGAACUAAUACGCAUAGACUAGAACCUCGUGCCUCAUAAGCAUUCAGUCAUCAGUAUGGGUGAAGGUCAGUGGUUACCAAUUUCUUUGAUAUUUUCCUGUUUGCCUGUUGUGUAUGAUUUCCUGGUCUGUCAGAUUAUUUCCAGGGUGCAGCUCUAAAGACGAGCAAAUUGUUAUUAGAUUUGGAAGCCAGUUCAUCAAAUACAUGCAGUCCUCAAAGGGCACGAAUGUGUUUAACAAGAAUUAAUGAAAAAUUGGCAGCCUGAUAUUUUUGGCCCAGUCAAAAUGUGUGGAGUCUCAUUGCUAAUUAAGCCUCCUCAUUUUUCCUAGAGCAAUGCCACCUGUAGGUUUGCCUGAUUUGGGCAUUUAUUUUUCCAAAUGGCAGCUGCCUGAAAGUUUCAGGAAUCUCAGAACAAUAACUGGAAUUUAGGCUAGAAGAAGAAAUGGGAUAUCCCAAAAUUGCAACAGGAUAAGCAACCCUUUUAAAAAAAAUUGAUGGUUAGAUUUUUGUCAGAUGCCACCCAUUUAUCUAAAACUUCAAUUUUAAGUCAGAGAAUUAUCAAUUAAUAAAAAUUGAUUUAUAUUUACUAGGUAUAAGGCACCACACAGGAUGCUGUUGGGGAAUUGUAGGUAAAUGAGAUAUGGAUAUUUUUUCAGUUACUACAGCAGAGGACCUCAGUGUCCAGCGUGAAGUGACCAGAGACAGAGUGGAAUGGGAGGAGGUCACAGCAGUGGCCAGGACCAGAUUACAGGGGCCUUGGAGGCCACAGGGAGGAAUUUGGAUUUGAUUCUAAUGCUACAGGAAUCCACUGAAGAUGGCAUUAAUUGAUUUUUUUGUUUUCAGUUGAGACCAGGUCUCACUCUGUGGCCCAGGUGGAGUGCAGUGGUGUGAUCACAGCUCACUGUGGCCUCCACCUCCCAGGCUCAGGUAAUCCUCCUGCAUCAGCCUCCUAAGUAGCAGGGACCACAGGCACACACCACUAGGCUCAUGCCCAGUUAACUUUCUUAAAAAAAAUUGUGUAGAGAUGGGGUUUUUCUAUGUUCCCCAGGCUGGUAUUGAACUCCUGGGCUCAAAGGAUCCUCCCACCUUGGCCUCCCAAAGUGCUAGAUUACAGGCAUGAACGACUGCACCUGGCCUGAUUUAUAUUAAAAAAAAAAAAUUCUGCAGGGACACAAGUCAAGUUCAAAGCAGGAAGACCAGAGAGAAAGCAGCUGUUGUUCUUUAGGCAAGAGCUGGUGUUACUAGACAAGGGAUGAAGCAGCAGGAAGAGAUAAUAAUAUUUUGGAGGUACAGCUAUCAGGACUUGCCAAUGGCAUUGGAUGGGGUUGGAGCAACGGGCGGCAAGGGAAAGGCAGGAGUCAGGGAUGACUCCUAGUUUUGAAAGAAAGGUUGGCUUUGAACACAUGGCAGUGGGAAGAAGGAUAUUACAGGCAAUGUGUGAGCAGAAACAUGAGGUGAGAAAAUGGAGCCCAUGUCCAGGGAAGUAGGAGUCACUGGAAUCUUUCUGGAGAAUGAGGUGCAAAAAAGGAAGGUGUGGAAGAUACGGUUGGAGCCAGAAUGGAAAGUGCCAGACCAAAGAAAAUGCAUUUCUUUCCACAGGCAGUAUGGAGCCACCAGAGGAUUCUAAACAGAUUAGAAAACUCCCAGCAGGCCUCGGAUGGUUAAAACGAGUCCACCACCUUCCUAAUGACCCAUUCUUGUACUCAAUGACUUAAAGAGUAUUUUGCAUCUAGCAUAAAUCUCUCUAUUGGUUCCGUGGAAAACACACACGCCCACGCAUUGCCUACCUCACUGAUUUUUAAAAUGGUCUCAAUUCCCUUUGAAGGCUGCUGGUGGGCCGACGUAUGUACCAGACUAUUGGCAAUUUCACACAUUCAAAUUGCAAUCUCCAACUUCUGCAAAUAAAAGAUCUUUAUGUUCCCCAGUUGUGAAGUUUACUCGCAAUUUCUAUGCAGAGCGUUUCGUCUGUGCUUGCAUUCAGAGGCUCUGCGAACACAUCUGCUCACUGCCACAUUUAAGAAUUCCCAGGAAAAAGAAGGUUUUGUUAUGAAAGGCCUGGCAGCCCCAUCUCUUUCCAAAGGAUGCAUCACAAAUGCUGUGUUGGAGUGAAAUUGUCACAACAGAGAUACCCAAUCUUGGCAGUGAAGCCAACUAUUUUGAGAAGUCCAGCACCAAAGGAAGCCCACAACAAUGAACUAUGUUGGUUUGGACAUGAGGGGCGGUGUUUUAGAAGUUCCACUGGAGAUCCAUCAGAGUUGUUGUCCUGUCGAUGAGAUGACCUGUUUGGAGCUUCUGUGAAUCAUUCUGUCACUCAGUAAAUAUUUGAGGUGAAUAUGAAAGCCUUUGGUAACUGUGGAGAGAAAUUCAAGAGGAGAUGCUGCUGUCAUCCUUGAUUGAGUUGCAGGUCCAGCCUUCUCUGCUGGACCACAGGAAGAAGAGAAAAGGAAUAUCAUGGAGGGUUAAGAGCAAGCAAGAUUUUGCAUUCAGAUAGAUCUGGAUCUGAGUCUAGCCCUUACCACUUAUUAGCUAUGAGAUAUUGAACCUGACCUCUUUAUGUCUUGGCUUCCUUACCUGCACAAUGGCAUAAUAAAAAUUACUUUGUGGAGUCA